ensembl:misc_RNA Y_RNA Y RNA
GUUUGGUCCCAUGGUAGGGGGUUAUCAGAACUUAUUAACAUUAGUGUCAACUAAAGUUGGUAUACAACCUCCCACUGCUAAACUUGACUGGCUUUGA